UACGGGGGGGGCAAGCGUUGUUCGGAAUUACUGGGCGGAAAGGGCUCGUAGGCGGCCAACUAAGUCAGACGUGAAAUCCCUCGGCUUAACCGGGGAACUGCGUCUGAUACUGGAUGGCUCGAGUUUGGGAGAGGGAUGCGGAAUUCCAGGUGUAGCGGUGAAAUGCGUAGAUAUCUGGAGGAACACCGGUGGCGAAGGCGGCAUCCUGGACCAAUACUGACGCUGAAUAGCGAAAGCCAGGGGAGCAAACGGG
rnacentral:rRNA from 1 species